AGUGAACGCUGGCGGUAGGCCUAACACAUGCAAGUCGAACGGCAGCACAGUAAGAGCUUGCUCUUACGGGUGGCGAGUGGCGGACGGGUGAGGAAUACAUCGGAAUCUACUUUUUCGUGGGGGAUAACGUAGGGAAACUUACGCUAAUACCGCAUACGACCUACGGGUGAAAGCAGGGGAUCUUCGGACCUUGCGCGAUUGAAUGAGCCGAUGUCGGAUUAGCUAGUUGGCGGGGUAAAGGCCCACCAAGGCGACGAUCCGUAGCUGGUCUGAGAGGAUGCUCCGCCAAACGGGAAUUGGAACCCGGCCCAGACCCCUACGGGAGGCAGCGGGGGGGAAUUUUGGAAAAGGGGGGCAACCCUGACCCAGCCAUCCCGGGGGGGUGAAGAAGGCCUUCGGGUUGAAAAGCCUUUUUGUUGGGAAAAAAAAGCAGCAGUUUAAUCCCCCGCUGUUCUGACGGAACCAAAAAAAUAAGCACCGCCUAACUUCGU
rnacentral:rRNA from 1 species